GGUGCAUUGAUAAUUUCGGAGGUUAACACUCUAAACAGCUCAGGUACGGAUCCCCGCAAAACGUCGACAGGUUGUAAAGGCGGCUGCAUGCUUCAGCGUUGGUGUUACGUUGUUGCGCAAAAUUUACUCAAAGCAAUUCAUGCUCCCUUUUAGGUUGCGCGUGUUGCGCGUGUUGCCAAGCAAUUUACCGCCAGAACAGCAGGUGGAGUAAAGUUUUUCGUUGAAGACGACCUCGAGAAUGACGUCUUUGUCUGUGGGAGUCGUUGGUUUGUUUAUGUGCCAAAGUUUGAUGAUCUCCUUUCGCGAGUCAUCCGAUAUCUUCCCGACUCUCACCAAAACCGGCCCUUGUCA